CUUAGUGGCGGACGGGUGAGUAACGCGUGGGUAACCUGCCUUGUACAGGGGGAUAACAGUCAGAAAUGACUGCUAAUACCGCAUAAGCGCACAGGACCGCAUGGUCCGGGGGUAAAAACUCCGGUGGUAUGAGAUGGACCCGCGUCUGAUUAGCUAGUUGGUAAGGUAACGGCUUACCAAGGCGACGAUCCAUAGCCGGCCUGAGAGGGUGAACGGCCACAUUGGGACUGAGACACGGCCCAG
rnacentral:rRNA from 1 species